rnacentral:rRNA from 1 species
UGGGGAAUUUUGGACAAUGGGCGAAAGCCUGAUCCAGCAAUGCCGCGUGUGUGAAGAAGGCCUUCGGGUUGUAAAGCACUUUUGUCCGGAAAGAAAUCCUUGGCUCUAAUACAGUCGGGGGAUGACGGUACCGGAAGAAUAAGCACCGGCUAACUACGUGCCAGCAGCCGCGGUAAUACGUAGGGUGCAAGCGUUAAUCGGAAUUACUGGGCGUAAAGCGUGCGCAGGCGGUUUGCUAAGACCGAUGUGAAAUCCCCGGGCUCAACCUGGGAACUGCAUUGGUGACUGGCAGGCUAGAGUAUGGCAGAGGGGGGUAGAAUUCCACGUGUAGCAGUGAAAUGCGUAGAGAUGUGGAGGAAUACCGAUGGCGAAGGCAGCCCCCUGGGCCAAUACUGACGCUCAUGCACGAAAGCGUGGGGAGCAAACAGGAUUAGAUACCCUGGUAGUCCACGCCCUAAACGAUGUCAACUAGUUGUUGGGGAUUCAUUUCCUUAGUAACGUAGCUAACGCGUGAAGUUGGCCGCCUGGGGAGUACGGUCGCAAGAUUGAAAACUCAAAGGAAUUGACGGGGUCAUAGCUGUUUCCU